AAGAGAACCCCACUGAGCAUGCUCAACAACCUAAGACAGUUAAACUACUAACAGUCUACAGGAAAACUAUUCUAAUAUUUUUAAAGGACCGUUUCAUAACAAAGCUUAAGAGACUAUAUUCCAUUCAGUUACUUGCCAGGAUCAAUCAUAAUGUUCUGCUAAACAGAGGACCAAAGGAGGAGCUGUUAUUUCUAACCUAUCCAGUUGUGGUAUCUUCCUGUUUCUGUCCCAUAUUGUAAUAAGGAAAUUGUCAUUGCUAGACAAUGGGCAGUGCUCAUCCUUCCAAUUCUGGGAAUUUUUUAAAUCACUGGUAGCCUGUCCAACACUGAGAGAAGAAUGAAAUUGUUCUCUAUUGGCCAGUGUACACUUUUUAGCUAUUUUGUAAAGGUUGUGGGAAAUUAUUUCACAUGGCAGCUACAAAACCAACCAAAUAUUUGGGGUGGAACCGGGGAAGAUAAACCUGGUGUGGCAGUAACCUACAAGGCGCUUUCCAGACUAGACCCUACAACGGGGUCAGGACGAAUCUCAGCAGUGUGCUUCCAUACUUCCUGUACUGUGACGCCGCAGUCCCUACACGGACAGAAGGGUGCCAUUCACAUUUCCAAUGCCUUGUUGUGAAUUUAAUUGUUGCGAUAUAGAGCAAGGACACCAUAUAUCCAGCGUGAAAAAGUUGCUGUUUUUUCGGGUUCUUAGUAGCUGCGAGACUGCUCCCCCUGUUGUUUACGAUCUGAAUGUGACUUGCCUGAAUGGAGGCAUUUUGCUGCUGAUGAACAGCUAGUCUGGAAAGCACCCAGUAGAAAAUCAUUCAUUGAGCCCUUUCCCAUGAGCAGUGAGAAAGAGCAAGAGAGUUAGCAGGGAGGAAACCCUAAAGAGCUUACUUCCCCGCAGACGAGUGACAGUGUCCUCUUCGGUGGGUGGAUCACCUGCCCAGAUGACUUCUGGCUGCGGAGGGCCAGGUGCCAGGACGUAUCGCUCCGCAUCGCCCCACCCCCUGG